ACGUAGGGUCCGAGCGUUGUCCGGAAUUAUUGGGCGUAAAGGGCUCGUAGGCGGUUCGUUAAGUCUGUCGUGAAAUCCCCGGGCUCAACCUGGGAAUGGCAGUGGAUACUGGAAAGCUGGAGUGCGGUAGAGGGUAGUGGAAUUCCCGGUGUAGCAGUGAAAUGCGUAGAGAUCGGGAGGAACACCAGUGGCGAAGGCGGCUACCUGGACCAGCACUGACACUGAGGCACGAAAGCGUGGGGAGCAAACAGGA
rnacentral:rRNA from 1 species